rnacentral:rRNA from 1 species
CCUACGGGCGGCUGCAGUGGGGAAUAUUGGACAAUGGGCGAAAGCCUGAUCCAGCCAUGCCGCGUGUGUGAAGAAGGCCUUCGGGUUGUAAAGCACUUUCAGUGGGGAAGAAAGCCUUGGGGCUAAUACCCUCGAGGAAGGACAUCACCCACAGAAGAAGCACCGGCUAACUCCGUGCCAGCAGCCGCGGUAAUACGGAGGGUGCGAGCGUUAAUCGGAAUUACUGGGCGUAAAGCGCGCGUAGGCGGUCUGAUAAGCCGGUUGUGAAAGCCCCGGGCUCAACCUGGGAACGGCAUCCAGAACUGUCAGGCUAGAGUGCAGGAGAGGAAGGUAGAAUUCCCGGUGUAGCGGUGAAAUGCGUAGAGAUCGGGAGGAAUACCAGUGGCGAAGGCGGCCUUCUGGACUGACACUGACGCUGAGGUGCGAAAGCGUGGGUAGCAAACAGGAUUAGAUACCCUAGUAGUC